GUGAUAGUCAUUUGAAUCCAGAUAAUUUGCUGUAUCAGGCAAGAAUCACAACUUUGGUAGUUGCAGAGUGCUUGGUGGCCUUUUCCUCAACAUGGUAGCUUUACUUAUCAUAAUAGAGAUUUUUUAGAUCCUAGUAAAGACACUUUUGAGUUAGGAAUUAAAAGCUCCAAUUCUACAACCAUUUUGAUGCCAUAAUUUCUCUAAG
rnacentral:misc_RNA from 1 species